UUUGUAAAUCUAGAUGAUUUUCGAGGUCAGUCUAGAUGUGUUUAGACAGGCAAAAAUGGCAGUCCUGCAGUGGACGCAAUCUUGUUCCUGCGUGACGACCACCGAAUGUAAACAACGUAAGUAAUAUCCUGGUGAAGUGAGCGGGUUUUUAGCGCAGACCACAGAAGCACGAAGACCACAAAAUGUAAACAACGAACAAAGAGCAAGACACGAAUGCGUAAUUUGCAGACUAAGGCAGCAGCUCAAAGGAUUUGUAACGUUUGUUUGUAUGUUGCGGGUCGGGCCUGCAAAUCCAGUCAAUUAGUCGGACUCGUGGCGGGUUUAAUACCCCCGGGCUCGGGUCGGGUCGGGCUGGAAUUUUUGGGCCCGAUCUUACAGCUACUCAAAACCCUAGCUUGACAAAUUAUUUCUGGGCUCAUACUAAAAGGGAGUGCCAUAAGAAAAACACUGGUGAAGUUUAUAUCACUUUCCAUUAGAAUAUGUAAUUUAUUGAUACAAUACAAUUUCUUUAAAUAUAACACAUUUAUUAAUUUAACUAAUUCAACUUAUUGUUAUUGAUUUCAACAGUUUACCCUUUUUUAAUUGUUUAUCCUAUUUCCAUCCAGGCUUUCUGCAGCCUUCUAUGGAAUAGCGUGUUGCUGAUUUCCGCAUCGGUUGCAUAUUGUGGAAAACUUGUGAUAAGUUUGAUCGAGAGCCAUGUGAUGAAGUAUGAUUCUCCCAGUUCAACCCAAUGAUAUUUGAUAAUGAAAACAUACAACUAGGGUAAUAUUUAAGUAUAGGAAACGCCAUAUUCACGAAUUCAACCUUUUUCACAAGUUCAGAUUUUUUAUAGCGUAUUUUUACAUAAUUUAUUUUUUAUACCACAACUAUUUAUAAAAAAAAUUUUACUUUCAUUUUCCCAAAGUGGACAUUUUAUACCUUUUACUGCAAUGGAACAAGUUACUUUUUUUAUUUUGACAAUUUUCUUGUUAUUUGCUAUAUAUAUUCACCACGCUUAAACAAUGAGAAAACACUUUACAUAUCUGUCCCAAACUCAAUAGAACCCAAUAAUUUAAUUACCAAUUUUGCGGGUUCCAUUAAUUUUGGGAUAUCUUGUAGGCCAGGGGUCUCAAACACGCGGCCCGUGCGCCGCAUGAGGCCCGCAACGCAAUUUUGCCGCCCUUUUCGAAGUUGAGAUUUUUCCAGAAAAAAAAAUAAUAAAAUAGUAUGAUGUCAACUAUGAGUUUUGUCGUAUUCAUAUUUUUACUAGUGUAAUAUUUGAUUUGUAAAUUCAAUAAUUUUGAUUUCGUUUUUAUUAUGACGAAAUAAACAAGUUUCGGUCAGAUCA